CCUACUGGCACCUACUCGACUGCGGACCCCACGCCCACGGCCGACCGCCAGUGUGCCCCAGUCACCGCUGUGUGCCCUACUGGCACCUACUCGGCCGCGGACCCCACGCCCACGGCCGACCGCCAGUGUGCCCCAGUCACCGCUGUGUGCCCUACUGGCACCUACUCGGCCGCGGAUCCCACACCCACGGCCGACCGCCAGUGCGCCCCAGUCACCGCUGUGUGCCCUACUGGCGCCUACUCGGCCGCGGAUCCCACGCCCACGGCCGACCGCCAGUGCGCCCCAGUCACCGCUGUGUGCCCUACUGGCACCUACUCGGCCGCGGACCCCACACCCACGGCCGACCGCCAGUGCGCCCCAGUCACCGCUGUGUGCCCUACUGGCACCUACUCGGCUGCAGACCCCACGCCCACGGCCGACCGCCAGUGCGCCCCAGUCACCGCUGUAUGCCCUACUGGCACCUACUCGGCCGCGGACCCCACGCCCACGGCCGACCGCCAGUGCGCCCCAGUCACCGCUGUGUGCCCUACUGGCACUUACUCGGCCGCGGACCCCACGCCCACGGCCGACCGCCAGUGUGCCCCAGUCACCGCUGUGUGCCCUACUGGCACGUACUCGGCCGCGGACCCCACGCCCACGGCCGACCGCCAGUGUGCCCCGGUCACCGCUGUGUGCCCUACUGGCACCUACUCGGCCGCGGACCCCACGCCCACGGCCGACCGCCAGUGUGCCCCAGUCACCGCUGUGUGCCCUACUGGCACCUACUCGGCCGCGGACCCCACACCCACGGCCGACCGCCAGUGCGCCCCAGUCACCGCUGUGUGCCCUACUGGCACCUACUCGGCCGCGGACCCCACACCCACGGCCGACCGCCAGUGCGCCCCAGUCACCGCUGUAUGCCCUACUGGCACCUACUCGGCCGCGGACCCCACGCCCACGGCCGACCGCCAGUGCGCCCCAGUCACCGCUGUGUGCCCUACUGGCACCUACUCGGCCGCGGACCCCACGCCCACGGCCGACCGCCAGUGUGCCCCAGUCACCGCUGUGUGCCCUACUGGCACCUACUCGGCCGCGGACCCCACGCCCACGGCCGACCGCCAGUGCGCCCCAGUCACCGCUGUGUGCCCUGCUGGCAC
rnacentral:lncRNA from 1 species